rnacentral:lncRNA from 10 species
UGGCAAAAAGAGUCCUGUCCCAGCACUGCAAGGGGAAGAUAAAGGCUCGUCAUCUGUGCGUGCGUCCAUCUGAGUGGAACGUGUGUCCCGGGGGCUGCUGCCACCGCGCCGGUCCCUCCUGUAAUCCGAGCCCGUGUCAGAGGACGCGGCGCCUGCAAGGCAAAAGGGUUGCCGCAGGUGUGGCCAGAUCCUCUAGGCAAGAGGUGUGGAUUCAGGUCCUACUAGUCUUACUCCUGAUGAAGCUGGGCAAAUCAGUUGGCUCUGGAGUAAUUAGUAGCCCCUUCCUCACUGACCAUUGCAAGGAAAUACCAGUGAACUUGAGUUUCUCCAAUGAAGGUGAUCACAGUGAUGAAUGACUUGGCUUCUGCACAGCAAAAGACAUGAUCAUCAGAGCGAACAGACAACCUACAGAAUGGGAGAGCAUUUGUGCCAUCUAUCCAUCUGACAAAAGUCUAAAAUCCAAAGUUUACAAAGAACUUAAACAAAUUUACAAGAAAAAAACA